rnacentral:rRNA from 1 species
CCUACGGGGGGCAGCAGUGGGGAAUCUUGCGCAAUGGGCGAAAGCCUGACGCAGCCAUGCCGCGUGAAUGAUGAAGGUCUUAGGAUUGUAAAAUUCUUUCACCGGGGACGAUAAUGACGGUACCCGGAGAAGAAGCCCCGGCUAACUUCGUGCCAGCAGCCGCGGUAAUACGAAGGGGGCUAGCGUUGCUCGGAAUUACUGGGCGUAAAGGGAGCGUAGGCGGACAUUUAAGUCAGGGGUGAAAUCCCAGAGCUCAACUCUGGAACUGCCUUUGAUACUGGGUGUCUUGAGUGUGAUAGAGGUAAGUGGAACUCCGAGUGUAGAGGUGAAAUUCGUAGAUAUUCGGAAGAACACCAGUGGCGAAGGCGACUUACUGGAUCAUUACUGACGCUGAGGCUCGAAAGCGUGGGGAGCAAACAGGAUUAGAUACC